rnacentral:misc_RNA from 1 species
GAAAUGCGAUAAGUAAUGUGAAUUGCAGAAUUCAGUGAAUCAUCGAAUCUUUGAACGCACAUUGCGCCCGCCAGUAUUCUGGCGGGCAUGCCUGUUCGAGCGUCAUUUCAACCAUCAAGCCCACGGCUUGUGCUGGGGACCUGCGGCUGCCCGCAGGCCCUGAAAACCAGUGGCGGGCUCGCUGUCACCCCGAGCGUAGUAGCAUACAUCUCGCUCUGGGCGUGCCGCGGGCGCCUGCCGUGAAACAAACACAAACACAAGGUUGACCUCGGAUCAGGUAGGAAGACCCGCUGAACUUAA